GAUGAACGCUGGCGGCGUGCCUAAUACAUGCAAGUCGAGCGAAUGGAUUAAGAGCUUGCUCUUAUGAAGUUAGCGGCGGACGGGUGAGAAACACGUGGGUAACCUGCCCAUAAGACUGGGAUGACUCCGGGAAACUGGGGCUAAUACCGGAUAACAUUUUGAACCGCAUGGUUCGAAAUUGAAAGGCGGCUUCGGCUGUCACUUAUGGAUGGACCCGCGUCGCAUUAGCUAGUUGGUGAGGUAACGGCGCACCAAGGCAACGAUGCGUAGCCGACCUGGGAGGGUGAUCGGCCACACUGGGACUGAGACACGGCCCAGACUCCUACGGGAGGCAGCAGUAGGGAAUCUUCCGCAAUGGACGAAAGUCUGACGGAGCAACGCCGCGUGAGUGAUGAAGGCUUUCGGGUCGUAAAACUCUGUUGUUAGGGAAGAACAAGUGCUAGUUGAAUAAGCUGGCACCUUGACGGUACCUAACCAGAAAGCCACGGCUAACUACGUGCCAGCAGCCGCCGUAA
rnacentral:rRNA from 1 species